ACAUGUACCUGUCUUAGUGGACCCAUGCCAGAGGAAGUUGCAGCCUCAAACCAUUGCCCAGUCUCCUUACCCUUGGGCUGUGAGCACUGAAGGGGGCUCUACAGUA
ensembl:snoRNA